UGGGGUAUAGUGUAAUGGCAACAUUACGGUUUUUGGCACCGUCGUUCAAGGUUCGAAUCCUUGUACCCCAG
rnacentral:tRNA from 1 species